AUUGAACGCUGGCGGCAUGCCUUACACAUGCAAGUCGAACGGUAACGCGGGGCAACCUGGCGACGAGUGGCGAACGGGUGAGUAAUGCAUCGGAACGUGCCCGGUAGUGGGGGAUAACUGCUCGAAAGAGCAGCUAAUACCGCAUACGACCUGAGGGUGAAAGGGGGGGAUCGCAAGACCUCUCGCUAUCGGAGCGGCCGGUGUCGGAUUAGGUAGUUGGUGGGGUAAAAGCCCACCAAGGCAACGAUCCGUAGCUGGUCUGAGAGGACGACCAGCCACACUGGGACUGAGACACGGCCAAGACUCCUACGGGAGGCAGCAGUGGGGAAUUUUGGACAAUGGACGCAAGUCUGAUCCAGCCAUGCCGCGUGCGGGAAGAAGGCCUUCGGGUUGUAAACCGCUUUUGUCAGGGAAGAAAUCUUCUGAGUUAAUACCUCGGGAGGAUGACGGUACCUGAAGAAUAAGCACCGGCUAACUACGCGCCAGCAGCCGCGUAA
rnacentral:rRNA from 1 species